GCCGAAGUGGCGGAAUUGGUAGACGCACACGACUCAAAAUCGUGCGGAGAAAUCCAUGAGAGUUCGAUUCUCUCCUUCGGCACAA
rnacentral:tRNA from 2 species